rnacentral:rRNA from 1 species
UACGUAGGGAGCAAGCGUUGUUCGGAUUUACUGGGCGUAAAGGGCGCGUAGGCGGCGCGGUAAGUCACUUGUGAAAUCUCUGAGCUUAACUCAGAACGGCCAAGUGAUACUGCAGUGCUAGAGUGCAGAAGGGGCAAUCGGAAUUCUUGGUGUAGCGGUGAAAUGCGUAGAUAUCAAGAGGAACACCUGAGGUGAAGACGGGUUGCUGGGCUGACACGUGACGCUGGAGGCGACGAAAGCUAGGGGAGCAAACAGG